rnacentral:rRNA from 1 species
UCUACGGGAGGCAGCAGAGGGGAAUAUUGGACAAUGGGCGCAAGCCUGAUCCAGCCAUACCGCGUGGGUGAAGAAGGCCUUCGGGUUGUAAAGCCCUUUUGUUGGGAAAGAAAAGCGAUCGGUUAAUACCCGGUUGUUCUGACGGUACCCAAAGAAUAAGCACCGGCUAACUUCGUGCCAGCAGCCGCGGUAAUACGAAGGGUGCAAGCGUUACUCGGAAUUACUGGGCGUAAAGCGUGCGUAGGUGGUGGUUUAAGUCCGUUGUGAAAGCCCUGGGCUCAACCUGGGAAUUGCAGUGGAUACUGGGUCACUAGAGUGUGGUAGAGGAUAGUGGAAUUUCCGGUGUAGCAGUGAAAUGCGUAGAGAUCGGAAGGAACAUCUGUGGCGAAGGCGACUAUCUGGGCCAACACUGACACUGAGGCACGAAAGCGUGGGGAGCAAACAGGAUUAGAUACCCUGGUAGUCCACGCCCUA